GAGACACCCUUACGGGGCAAGACUUGCUUCAGUGGGGCUUUGGUGCUCACUGAGUCUGCCUCCUGAGUGUGUCCCU
rnacentral:pre_miRNA from 1 species